CGCUGAGCGCUAUCAGAUGGGCGCCCGGCGCCCUGUGCAGUGUAAAAGCUGAAGAAAACUAAAAAAAACACAACUGGAUUGGUCCAAUUUUGAGUUUUACACUUCCCGAUCACGCCAAUUGAUUUACACACAUUCAUAUAUCAUAACAAACAUGCUCAUGCCUUAAAAUUCAGCAAUCAAGCACAGUUUAUCAAAGAUUCACAAUGCAAGGCUUCCAAAGACAAGUUUGUAUGCUUUUCCGGAACUUAAUAGGCCAUAUUUUGAUGUAUUCACUUCUAGCACAUGCCGCUUGGUCCAAACACAUUCAAAAACCCUAUAAAACUUGUACAUACCUAAAAAUUAGAAAUUGAAGCACAUUUAGCACAAAAGUUAUUCUAGGUUCCAUUAAGGGUAAAAUUUCAUGAUUUCACAACUCAACACCU
rnacentral:lncRNA from 1 species